UUAGUGGCGAACGGGUGAGUAACACGUGAGGAACUUGCCCAUGAGCGGGGGACAACAUUCGGAAACGGAUGCUAAUACCCCAUAGGUGGAUUGGUCGCAUGACGAAUUCAUUAAAGGUGGCUUCGCUACCACUCAUGGAUAGCCUCGCGGCGUAUUAGCUAGUUGGUAAGGUAAUGGCUUACCAAGGCAGUGAUACGUAGCCGACUUGAGAGGGUGAUCGGCCACACUGGGACUGAGACACGGCCCAGACUCCUACGGGAGGCAGCAGUAGGGAAUCUUCCACAAUGGGUGCAAACCUGAUGGAGCAAUGCCGCGUGAGUGAAGAAGGUCUUCGGAUCGUAAAGCUCUGUUGUUAGAGAAGAACACGUGCUAGGUAACUACUAGCGCCUUGACGGUAUCUAACCAGAAAGUCACGGCUAACUACGUGCCAGCAGCCGCGGUAAUACGUAGGUGACAAGCGUUGUCCGGAUUUAUUGGGCGUAAAGGGAGCGCAGGCGGUCUGUUUAGUCUAAUGUGAAAGCCCACGGCUUAACCGUGGAACGGCAUUGGAAACUGACAGACUUGAAUGUAGAAGAGGAAAAUGGAAUUCCAAGUGUAGCGGUGGAAUGCGUAGAUAUUUGGAGGAACACCAGUGGCGAAGGCGAUUUUCUGGUCUAACAUUGACGCUGAGGCUCGAAAGCGUGGGGAGCGAACAGGAUUAGAUACCCUGUAGUCCACGCCGUAAACGAUGAGUGCUAAGUGUUGGGGGCUUUCCGGCCCUCGGUGCUGGAGCUAACGUAUUAAGCACUCCGCCUGGGGAUUACGACCGCAAGGU
rnacentral:rRNA from 1 species